rnacentral:rRNA from 1 species
GAUGAACGCUAGCUACAGGCUUAACACAUGCAAGUCGAGGGGCAGCAUGAAAGGAACUUCGGUUCUUUUUGAUGGCGACCGGCGCACGGGUGCGUAACGCGUAUCGAACCUGCCUCAUACUCGGGGAUAGCCUUGCGAAAGUAAGAUUAAUACCCGGCGGUCUCGGAUGGCCGCAUGACUGUCCGAGUGAAGAUUUAUCGGUAUGAGAUGGCGAUGCGUCCCAUUAGCUAGUUGGUGAGGUAACGGCUCACCAAGGCAUCGAUGGGUAGGGGUUCUGAGAGUAAGGUCCCCCACAUUGGAACUGAGACACGGUCCAAACUCCUACGGGAGGCAGCAGUGAGGAAUAUUUGUCAAUGGACGAAAGUCUGAACCAGCCAAGUAGCGUGCAGGACGACGGCCCUCUGGGUUGUAAACUGCUUUUAGUUGGGAAUAAAAAGAGGGACGUGUCCCUUAUUGUAUGUACCAUCAGAAAAAGGACCGGCUAAUUCCGUGCCAGCCGCCGCAGUAA